AAAUAAGAUUUUGGGUGAAAACACUUUCAACCGAUAGAUGUGGAAUGCUUGUGGUUUAUAUAAUGUACAGUUGUUUCAUAAAUUGUGAAUAGAUGUGGUUGUGAGUUGUACUAUGUGCGACGUCAUACAAAUACAGAAAAAAUUCUAUCCGUGUGGACGAAAAAUUUUCUAUACUUGUGGCGGGUCUGUCAUCUCCUGGGUCAAGGUUUCAAAAAAAAUGAACA
rnacentral:lncRNA from 1 species